UACGGAGGGUGCAAGCGUUAUCCGGAUUCACUGGGUUUAAAGGGUGUGUAGGCGGGCUAUUAAGUCAGUGGUGAAAUCUCCGGGCUCAACCCGGAAACUGCACUUGAUACUGCGUGGCUCGGGUACUGGAGAGGAGACUGGAAUUUACGGUGUAGCAGUGAAAUGCGUAGAUAUCGUAAGGAAGACCAGUGGCGAAGGCGAGUCUCUGGACAGUUACCGACGCUGAGGCACGAAGGUCAGGGGAGCAAACGGG
rnacentral:rRNA from 1 species